rnacentral:lncRNA from 1 species
CAAGCAUACUUCUCUGCUGAUAACUCUGUCUGCUGCUUGUGAAUCCUCAUAGGAAGAAUGCCGGACUGACCUUCAGGUUUCCUCAAAAUACUGGGGUGAUGGUGGAGGCCGAAGCAGGUGGCAGUGUGUCUUGAGGACAGCCACAGAUUGGCUUGCAGGAGAGCUGUGGUUGAGUUUUUAAAACAGGAACUCCUGUAAACUGACUGGAAUGAAACUCACUGUGGAGCUGAAGGUAACCUUGAACUCCUGACCUUCCUGCCUUUACCUCCCAAGUACUAGGAUUAUAAACAUAUACUCGGUCUUACCUACCUUGGUCUAUAUAACAACUUCCAGGCCAGCCAAGUCUACGUAGUGAGAUUCUCUUCUCAAAAUAAUAACAAAUAAAUAAAUAAAUAAAAUCUUUCAAAAUGUUCAAAGAGCACCAAACUGUAAAAUGUGGGAAAUGACGUCAGAACCUAGAGGAAUGACACGGCCCAUGGUUCCAGUAUGUGAGAAGCCAAGGCAGGAGGAUGAGUUCAGUGUUGUCCUUUGCCGCAAGGCUAGCCAGGGCUACAAGAGAUCCUGUCUCAACAUGGCAGAGAAAAGCUGGGGAUCUGGCUCAGAGAGCAACUCGUGAGUGGAAGGACCCGACUUUAAACCACACCCAUGUAAAAGGGAGUACGAUGGCACCGGCCUUAGAAACCCAACUCUAGGGCAUGGGCAGCCAAGUUGGACCCUGGGAGCUUUCAAGCCAGUCAGUCCAGCUCGGACAGUGAAAGGACUUAAAUGUUCAGUGAAAGACUCAGUCUUGGGCUGGAGAGAUGGCUCAGCGGUUAAGAGCACCGAGUGCUCUUCUAGAGGUCCUGAGUUCAAUUCCCAGCAACCACAUGGUGGCUCACAACCAUCUGUAAUGAGGUCUGAUGCCCUCUUCUGGUGUGUCUGAAGACAGCGACAGUGUGCUCAUAUAAAUAUAAUAAAUAAAUAUUUUUUAAAAAAGAAAGUCUCAAAAAAAGGUGGGAUACAGUUGAGGAAGACAUAGUGCUAACAUAUGCAUAGGCCCUGCUCCCCGAACGGUGGACUGGACAGAGGCCGAGUUGGUGAUGUGGCUUUCCUCAGGCCGCUUAAGCACACUGCACUCCUGUUUGCUUUCUACCAAGCUCUUCCAGGGAUUGAUGUUAUCCUCAGUGCCAACCCCCUGUUGUCAUAGACCAUGUUUGAUUGUUAAUUCAGGAUCCAAAUCAAUAAAAUGUGUAGCGAGGCCACUUCAUUGCUGCACCGUUGCUCACAAGCCCCAUAAUAUGCUGAAAACAUUGUUACCGAAGACAAACCAGAAGAUUCCCCAGUGGUUCAUAUGAAAAGGUACAGGAGGACUGGCGGGAUGGCUCAUCAUGUGAGGACGCUUGUCACCAGGCCUAUGACCUUUCUUAAUCCCCAGAAUCCACAUUGUAGAGUGGAGAACUCUCCAGCAAGUUGUUCUCCGAGCUCAUGGUGUGCCAAGCCAUGCACUUAUACACGAUAAAUAAGUGUAGAAUGUAUUAUCUAAAGGGUUGGUGAGGGGCCGGGGCUAUAGCUGAGAAGACAGAGUGCUUGCCUAGUGUGCUUGAAGCCCCGGGAUCUGAUUCCCAGCCCCUAAGACCAGCUGCGAUGGCACUACUGCAGCAGCAGCCCUCAGGGGGUAAGGUAUGAUUUUAAUUUCUUUUAAAACCUACUUUUAGUGAUGUUUCUCAAACGCUUUAACCCCUCCGUUUUAGCCCACCACUCACCAAAAGUAGUAGAAAAAAAAAAGAUAUUGGGGGAAGUAGACCUGUUUGGAAAUGGUUCUUUUUUUUUUAUUAUUUUUAUUUAUUUAUUUAUU